rnacentral:sRNA from 1 species
ACUUAGCCCUCCUAAUCCACGAAGUAGCCUCUUCAUCCAUCUCUAAGCUCGAAAACAAACUAAACAACCUUUUUAUCAAAGACUAAACAACCAAAACUCUCAAUAUCUCCAAAGUACCUAAGCAAACCCGUGAA